UACAGAGGUCUCAAGCGUUGUUCGGAUUCAUUGGGCGUAAAGGGCGCGUAGGCGGCUUGGCAAGUGGAAGGUGAAAUCCCUCGGCUUAACCCGAGGAACUGCCCUCCAAACUGCUUCGCUUGAGACCGGGAGAGGUGAGUGGAAUUCCCAGUGUAGCGGUGAAAUGCGUAGAUAUUGGGAGGAACACCAGUGGCGAAGGCGGCUCACUGGACCGGUACUGACGCUGAGGUGCGAAAGCGUGGGGAGCAAACAGG
rnacentral:rRNA from 1 species